rnacentral:rRNA from 1 species
AUUGAACGCUGGCGGCAUGCCUAAUACAUGCAAGUCGAACGAGUCGCGGACGGGUGAGUAAUGUCUGGGCCACUGCACGUUGGAGGGGCAUAACUACUGGAAAAAGGAGCUAUUCCCGCAUACCAUCGUCUGUGCCCAGACUGGAUUAGCUAUUAGGUGGGGGAAUGGCUCACAUAGGCCACGAUCCCUAGCUGGUCUGAUCGGAUGAUCAGCCACACUGGAACGGAGACACGGUCCAGAAUACUAGGGAAGGCAGCAGAGGGGAAUAUUGCAAAAUGGGCGCAAGCCUGAUGCAGACAUGCGGCGUGUAUGAAGAAGGCCUUCGGGUUGUAAAGUACUUUCAGCGAGGAGGCGUUACUCGCAGAAGAAGCACCGGCUAACUCCGUGCCAGCAGCCGCGGUAAUAC